CACUUUAUCGUGAUUUGCCAUAAGUACGGCGUGAUGGUUGGUGGAACUCGCAUUAUAAAUGCGUUUAUCGACGUCGAUAACGAACCCGUGUAGCGGCCGCUGGCAUUUUCAUCAUUAAGUCUUAGCCUUGAUUGACAAAAGAAAAAAACAUUAAAAACUAUGGAUCAGUGGCUGUCAUUGUGACAAUUUUCACAAAAUCUGUUUGAUAAUAUGAAAUUUCUAAAUUAAUUCAAUAUAUCACGGCAUGAAGCAAUUAGAAAAGUAUGCUUUGUCCUUUGUUGUCAUAGUUGUGUUGAUGUGCAGCGGUUUGUUUGUUCUGAAUCUCGUGUGCAGGUGUUUAACUAAAAUAUACAUGUCGAUACAAGCGAUCCGCUCACAAAUGGAGCUUCGGAAAGAUCUAAAGCCUUCGUCAGGCGCACGCGUGACGCAACUUGAAGACCCAAUGUUAUGAUGUAGGCAGUCAACUACGGCAGCACCCGUCACGAUGCAUCAGCAAGCCAGCGCGUGUCCCCACUAUCACGGAUCUAGGCGAUAGAGCCAUGGCCGGUCGCCAAACAGCUGAUAGACGUCUGGAUAAACUGAGAAGUCGCAAGUCUGAACAUUUAUUAUCGCACUCUGAAGAUUUGUUAGCUGUCCCAGAGACUUGUGUUUGGAGAACAUUGUUUUAAUCUUUUGCUGAAUUGUGUUUUGGAGAUUUGUAAGUGGAGUUUUUGGAAGCGAUGCUGUAAAUGAUUUAAAGUUUAGCUGCUUUGAUGUGUACUAGACGUGUAUUGUCCGCUGCCUGUUACGAUGCGAUAAAAAACUAUACAUUACAUGAAAUAUUUUUGUUUACAUGUAUACCUAUGAAUAUAUUUGUAUCCGCUUCUCAAUUUUGCAAUCUCAGUAUUCAUCACAAAUCAUAAAUUUUCAGUAAAAUUAUUAUGCAGUUGCUUAUAUGUGAUAAGAACGAAUCAUCUCCAAUAUUGUUCAAAGAAACUCUAACGAACUGUGUACAAUAAAUAUUUAAUACACAUAUAAAUUAUACAUACUUACCGCUAUUAUAAAUCUCAAAGUCUAUUGUUUUUGACUCAAAAAACGACAGAUCUAAAUAAAAUAGCACGCGUUGAGGAUCACUGGGCCGUCUGUUCCAAGUGGGAGAAUUCUCUUGAGCCAUGGGUUUCAAAGUCUUUUGUGUUCGUCGUGAGAAAUGUUUUUAAUCUCUGAAGUGAGAGGUUUUAAAGGAUGAUAGACGGGGAAAUGGAAUGCAACCGUACUCGAGUUGAGAUUUCGUUUGAUUAAUGUAUUGUUUUAUUUCUAUUUAUAAUCUGGCGUUUUGAUUUACUUUAUGUUGUUUAAUUUGGAUGUAGUAAAUUAGGUUUUAAGCUACGAAAUAAAUCCUUAAAUGAUAUUUAA